GAUCAUGGCUCAGAUUGAACGCUGGCGGCAGGCCUAACACAUGCAAGUCGAACGGUAACAGGAAGAGCUUGCUUCUUUGCUGACGAGUGGCGGACGGGUGAGUAAUGUCUGGGAAACUGCCUGAUGGAGGGGGAUAACUACUGGAAACGGUAGCUAAUACCGCAUAACGUCGCAAGACCAAAGAGGGGGACCUUCGGGCCUCUUGCCAUCGGAUGUGCCCAGAUGGGAUUAGCUGUAGGUGGGGUAACGGCUCACCUAGGCGACGAUCCCUAGCUGGUCUGAGAGGAUGACCAGCCACACUGGAACUGAGACACGGUCCAGACUCCUACGGGAGGCAGCAGUGGGGAAUAUUGCACAAUGGGCGCAAGCCUGAUGCAGCCAUGCCGCGUGUAUGAAGAAGGCCUUCGGGUUGUAAAGUACUUUCAGCGGGGAGGAAGGGAGUAAAGUUAAUACCUUUGCUCAUUGACGUUACCCGCAGAAGAAGCACCGGCUAACUCCGUGCCAGCAGCCGCGGUAAUACGGAGGGUGCAAGCGUUAAUCGGAAUUACUGGGCGUAAAGCGCACGCAGGCGGUUUGUUAAGUCAGAUGUGAAAUCCCCGGGCUCAACCUGGGAACUGCAUCUGAUACUGGCAAGCUUGAGUCUCGUAGAGGGGGGUAGAAUUCCAGGUGUACGCGGUGAAA
rnacentral:rRNA from 1 species